rnacentral:rRNA from 1 species
GAUCCUGGCUCAGGAUGAACGCUGGCGGCGUGCCUAACACAUGCAAGUUGAGCGAUUUACUUCGGUAAAGAGCGGCGGACGGGUGAGUAACGCGUGGGUAACCUACCCUGUACACACGGAUAACAUACCGAAAGGUAUGCUAAUACGGGAUAAUAUAUUUGAGAGGCAUCUCUUAAAUAUCAAAGGUGAGCCAGUACAGGAUGGACCCGCGUCUGAUUAGCUAGUUGGUAAGGUAACGGCUUACCAAGGCGACGAUCAGUAGCCGACCUGAGAGGGUGAUCGGCCACAUUGGAACUGAGACACGGUCCAAACUCCUACGGGAGGCAGCAGUGGGGAAUAUUGCACAAUGGGCGAAAGCCUGAUGCAGCAACGCCGCGUGAGUGAUGAAGGCCUUCGGGUCGUAAAACUCUGUCCUCAAGGAAGAUAAUGACGGUACUUGAGGAGGAAGCCCCGGCUAACUACGUGCCAGCAGCCGCGGUAAUACGUAGGGGGCUAGCGUUAUCCGGAUUUACUGGGCGUAAAGGGUGCGUAGG